UUUUAGCCCCGAUCGUAGUGAAAAUCCUUGGGGGCUGGGUUUCAGCCCUCAAGAUUGCAACGUAGAGCGGGAGGGAAC
rnacentral:sRNA from 1 species